GUGAGAUGUAGUCGCUCUUGGUACCGGGACCGGAUCUAGUUUCCGGUAAAUGUUGCCACGUAUUCGCGAUCUUUACCGACCCGCGUGGAAAUUGCGUGCGUAUUCAUGUGUGUGUGGGUGUGCUUGUGAAAAGAUGUUGAGCAUUUCGUAGUUUUGCGUGUGAUUAAAUAUUCAAAAGGGUCCGUUUGCUUUUCGCAUCGCAUUGACAGCAGCGUUCGGUUCAGUGCAAACUUUUGAUGAAGGUUACCAAGUUACACAAUACACGCCACAUCGAUUAGAACCCUUUCCGGAACGCUCGGCCUCAGCUUGACCAUGGCCAGUAGAUAAACGUUGCGUUCAGUGCAAAGUUUUCGUUCAUGGAAUAUGCUGCGAAAGUGACAGAUACAUGGUCGACACGAGCCAACUAAAGCUAGAACCUAGAAAGUUUGUUCGUAAAACAUUUUCCGGGAUAUCGGAGAGUUAACACUGCACGAAGUAGCAAAAAACGGACCAAUUCCCUUGGAAAUGAUCAAAUCAUGCCACAGCACGGAUCGAACCAUGUCCCAUGUGAUGAGUAGAAAAAGUGGAAUAAGAGAAACCCGUCGAGAACUUUGCAAAUUAUUCCAAUGCCACACUCCAAGGAGGCAAAUCGUCAAUUUAAGAAGGUUCACACUAACAGAACUUUUCGCGAUAACUUGGAUCACAUAAUGGAACAAAAUACUAUCAGACAAUAAUUGGGCACCAGAAAAGCGUACGCUCAGCCUACAGACUUCCACUUUCCCGCUUGGUGUACUUAGCUCGAAUACGACAGCAAAAUUCUCGUCACGAUUGUGCACCAGUUUCCUAUACGCUGCUGCUGCUGCUGCUUCUGCCACUGCGAACGAAGCGGAAGUCACAGCAGAAGAAUGAGAACUCCGAUCAUGUUACUCGACGCAAGCUCGACACUGCGAUAAAGUGUACCCCGAUACCCAACCCGCCCGUGGUUUAUGUGCGCCCGCUAGACAUAACAAUAACAUUUAAAGGAAUCCUAUGCUGUUCUGGGUGUACCGAUGGUCGUAAAAGUAAAAGUAACAGCCCUUCCCGCGAGACGACUGCUGACUGCUCUAGACGCAAGCAGUCCCCCAGAGAUGACGCGCUCUAUCACCCGCAAAACCCUACUGGCUGACUAGCAGCGGGGCUGACCACAUUCCUUCAAGAUUCCACAGAGUGACAGUUUUAUAGGAAUUUCUCGCAUUCUGCUCCUCUCUUUGCAGGAUCGGCCCCCGAACAUAGGCCGGACUGUGUCGAAGGGUUUAAACAUGGCACACGCAAUGAAUGCCACAAGCAGGCAAACGAUCUACACCAUGCUGUAAAUGUAAAAACAAGGCGUGAUCGACGGCACGUGGAAGGAGUUAAUUAAUGGCCUUGCGGGUUUGACACGUCAAUGAGCCACAACUGAGCGAACGCCCAACGAAAUGCAAACACAGUUAGAUCUGCUUACAAAGUACUGAUUUGAUUAGUUGUA